CGUGUGGUUCUAUUUUGUUGGUUUCUAGGACCGCCGUAAUGAUUAAUAGGGACAGUCGGGGGCAUCAGUAUUCAAUUGUCAGAGGUGAAAUUCUUGGAUUUAUUGAAGACUAACUACUGCGAAAGCAUUUGCCAAGGAUGUUUUCAUUAAUCAGGAACGAAAGUUAGGGGAUCGAAGACGAUCAGAUACCGUCGUAGUCUUAACCAUAAACUAUGCCGACUAGGGAUCGGACGAUGUUACAUUUUUGACGCGUUCGGCACCUUACGAGAAAUCAAAGUGCUUGGGCUCCAGGGGGAGUAUGGUCGCAAGGCUGAAACUUAAAGAAAUUGACGGAAGGGCACCACCAGGGGUGGAGCCUGCGGCUUAAUUUGACUCAACACGGGGAAACUC
rnacentral:rRNA from 1 species